rnacentral:rRNA from 1 species
UGGGGAAUCUUGCGCAAUGCGCGAAAGCGUGACGCAGCAACGCCGCGUGGGGGAAGAAGGCCUUCGGGUUGUAAACCUCUUUCAGUUGGGACGAAGCUUCCGCGGUGAACAGCCGCGUGGAGUGACGGUACCUUCACAAGAAGCCCCGGCUAACUACGUGCCAGCAGCCGCGGUAAUACGUAGGGGGCAAGCGUUGUCCGGAAUCAUUGGGCGUAAAGCGCGUGUAGGCGGCUCGGUAAGUCUGUUCUGAAAGUCCAGGGGCUCAAACCCCUGGGGAUGCGGAUGGAUACUGCCGAGCUCGAGUCCGGAAGAGGCGAGUGGAAUUCCUGGUGUAGCGGUGAAAUGCGCAGAUAUCAGGAGGAACACCAAUGGCGAAGGCAGCUCGCUGGGACGUGACUGACGCUGAGACGCGAAAAGCGUGGGGAGCAAAACA